rnacentral:rRNA from 14 species
UUAAAUUGAAGAGUUUGAUCAUGGCUCAGAUUGAACGCUGGCGGCAGGCCUAACACAUGCAAGUCGAACGGUAACAGGAAGCAGCUUGCUGCUUCGCUGACGAGUGGCGGACGGGUGA